AUACGUAGGGGGCAAGCGUUAUCCGGAUUUACUGGGUGUAAAGGGAGCGUAGACGGUAUGGUAAGUCAGAUGUGAAAGCCCGGGGCUCAACCCCGGGACUGCAUUUGAAACUAUCAGACUAGAGUGCAGGAGAGGUAAGUGGAAUUCCUAGUGUAGCGGUGAAAUGCGUAGAUAUUAGGAGGAACACCAGUGGCGAAGGCGGCUUACUGGACUGUAACUGACACUGAGGCACGAAAGCGUGGGGAGC
rnacentral:rRNA from 1 species